GAACCCGUGGCGCAGUGGUAGCGCGUAUGAUUCCAGAUGACCUUCGAGUCAUGGCAUCCAUAAGGUCAUCCGUUCAAUCCGGGUCGGGUUCA